CCGCCGGCCGCCCCGCCGGGCCCCGCGAGGCCCAGGCCCCGUUGCACCCACGGUGGCGACGGGCCCGGGAGGCGCUUGGAGACCGGCGGGCGGGCAGGCGAGCGCUCGGCGGCCGCGGGGGCGGGCGUUCUGGAACGUUGGGCGGCCGGGGGAGCUGAGGGGGCUAUUCGAACGGGGCGGCGGGAAGCCGUGACGUCACGCGGCCGGGCAUUGUUCUCGGGGCCGGGCGGGCGCGCGAGUCGUGGGACUGCGGCCCGUCUCUAUUCGUGCGUCUCCUCCUCCGCAGGUCAGCUCCGCCGAAGGCGCCGCCAAGGAAGAGCCCAAGAGGAGAUCGGCGCGGUUGUCAGCUAAACCUCCUGCAAAAGUGGAAGCGAAGCCGAAAAAGGCAGCAGCGAAGAUUCUUCAAACACCUAAAUGAAAGUGAUAAAUUCAAAACUGAUCCUUUUAGUUCCUCAUUAUAUGAUAUGAAGGGAUUAACUGUAGCAGGAUAGUCAACCUGACCGUACGGCAUGGUGCUUUUUUUCAGGAUAAAUCUUCAGACAAAAAAGUGCAAACAAAAGGGAAAAGGGGAGCAAAGGGAAAACAGGCCGAAGUGGCUAACCAAGAAACUAAAGAAGAUUUACCUGCGGAAAACGGGGAAACGAAGACUGAGGAGAGUCCAGCCUCUGAUGAAGCAGGAGAGAAAGAAGCCAAGUCUGAUUAAUAACCAUAUACCAUGUCUUAUCAGUGGUCCCUGUCUCCCUUCUUGUACAAUCCAGAGGAAUAUUUUUAUCAACUAUUUUGUAAAUGCAAGUUUUUUAGUAGCUCUAGAAACAUUUUUAAGAAGGAGGGAAUCCCACCUCAUCCCAUUUUUUAAGUGUAAAUGCUUUUUUUUAAGAGGUGAAAUCAUUUGCUGGUUGUUUAUUUUUUGGUACAACCAGAAAAUAGUGUGGGAUAUUGAAUUAUGGGAGGCUCUGACUGUCUCGGGUGUCAGCUUAACAUUCCACAGAUGGGGGGUUAGUUUUUAUAUCCUAUA
rnacentral:sRNA from 1 species